rnacentral:tRNA from 1 species
GGCUCAGAGGUUAAAGCAUCUGCCUCUAAUGCAGGAGACCUGGGUUCGAUCCCUG